AUCUAGUUGACGAGUCCCAAAUAGGACGAAACGCGCGUCAUGGAU
rnacentral:hammerhead_ribozyme from 1 species